CCUACGGGAGGCAGCAGUAGGGAAUCUUCCACAAUGGGCGAAAGCCUGAUGGAGCAACGCCGCGUGGGUGAAGAAGGUCUUCGGAUCGUAAAACCCUGUUGUUAGAGAAGAAAGUGCGUGAGAGUAACUGUUCACGUUUCGACGGUAUCUAACCAGAAAGCCACGGCUAACUACGUGCCAGCAGCCGCGGUAAUACGUAGGUGUCAAGCGUUAUCCGGAUUUAUUGGGCGUAAAGGGAGCGCAGGCGGUCGCUUAAGUCUGAUGUGAAAGCCUUCGGCUUAACCGGAGUAGUGCAUCGGAAACUGGGAGGCUUGAGUGCAGAAGAGGUAGGCGGAACUCGAUGUGUAGCGGUGAAAUGCGUAGAUAUAUGGAAGAACACCGGUGGCGAAGGCAGCUUACCGGUCUGUAACUGACGCUGAGGUUCGAAAGCGUGGGUAGCAAACAGGAUUAGAUACCCGUGUAGUC
rnacentral:rRNA from 1 species